CACGUAGGGGGCGAGCGUUGUCCGGAUUUAUUGGGCGUAAAGAGCUCGUAGGCGGCUCGGUAAGUCGGGUGUGAAAACUCUAGGCUCAACCUAGAGACGCCACCCGAUACUGCUGUGGCUAGAGUCCGGUAGGGGAGCAUGGAAUUCCUGGUGUAGCGGUGAAAUGCGCAGAUAUCAGGAAGAACACCUAUGGCGAAGGCAGCACUCUGGGACGGUACUGACGCUGAGACGCGAAAGCGUGGGGAGCGAACAGG
rnacentral:rRNA from 1 species